rnacentral:rRNA from 1 species
GGAGGAGUUAGGGGAGCGUGUCGGCGGCGGCGCCUGGGAGGGGAGCUGGCACCGCUGCUGCCGCAGGGAGGACAGCUAGCACGGCGGCGACGGAGUCUGGCAGUGUGUCGGCGUCCGCGUAUGAAAAAGAGCGGGGAGGGGAUUAGGUCAAGGGCAGGUUUCGGCGGCGGCGUUUGUUCCCUAGGGCGUCCUGGAGCGGCGGCGGCGUUAGUUCACUAGGGCGGCCUGGAGCUGCGGCGGCGUUAGUUCACUAGGACGGCCUGGAGCGGCGGCGGCGUUAGUUCCCUAGGGCGACCUGGAGCGGCGGUGGCGUUAGUUCCCUAGGGCGGCCUAACGGCGGUCCAAAGACCGGGCGGCGGUCCUCGGCGUCCUUGACGUACGGUAGUCCGCGCCGCACGGCUCGGGCGGCUUCGGAGGAGACGGGGGUGGCGGGGGACGUCGCGUAGGGAGGCAGCUCGUAGGCCAGUACGGCUCGUUGCGGCGCCUGGUCAGGCAUCCGUCCUAGAUAGACCGGCUGGAGUAAACUCGACGCCGAAUUCAUAAGGAUGACGCGCCCAAACGUGUAUACUAUGUAUCAACCAACUCGUGUAGAAGAUCUGAGAACACUUAUGUAGACCCUGUUGCGAAGUGUAGUCAGUCCAUAUAUGACGAAGGCAAAGCUCACUUUAGGAGAGGGUAUCGGGGACGGGGUCUACUUCACUCGAUAUAUACACAUACUACUAGGAGGAAAGGAUUUUCACUCUAACGGUAUACAUCAAGUCUUAACUGGAUAG